rnacentral:RNase_P_RNA from 1 species
CGGGGAGCGAGUGUGGAUCGCCGCCGGGGGCCGGUUUCGGCCGGACCCAUCGGUGGAGGAAAGUCCGGGCUCCACAGGGCAGGAUGCCGGGUAACGCCCGGGCGGCGAGAGCCGACGGAAAGUGCCACAGAGAGCAGACCGCCGAUGGCCCCCAGUCCUUCGGGACAAAGGGCACAGGUAAGGGUGAAAGGGUGCGGUAAGAGCGCACCGGUCGGCCGGCAACGGUCGGCGCAUGGCAAACCCCAUCCGGAGCAAGGCCAAGCAGGGACGAGGAGCUGCCCGCUCCAUCCGAGUCCCGGGUCGGCUGCUCGAGCCGUACAGCAAUGCACGGCCCAGAGAAAUGAUUCACCUCCGCCUCGGCGGAGACAGAACCCGGCUUAUUCCGCUCCCCGUGAC